rnacentral:rRNA from 1 species
CCGUGUAGUCAUAUGCUUGUCUCAAAGAUUAAGCCAUGCAAGUCUAAGUAUAAGCAACCUAUACUGUGAAACUGCGAAUGGCUCAUUAAAUCAGUUAUCGUUUAUUUGAUAGUACCUUACUACACGGAUAUCUGUGGUAAUUCUAGAGUUAAUACGUGCUAAAAACCCCGACUUCGGGAGGGGUGUAUUUAUUAGACAAAAAACCAAUGCCCUCCGGGGCUCCUUGGUGAUUCAUAAUAACUCAACGAAUCGCAUGGCCUUGCGCCGGCGAUGGUUCAUUCAAAUUUCUGCCCUAUCAACUUUCGAUGCUAGGGUAGUGGCCUAGCAUGGUUACAACGGGUAACGGGGAAUUAGGGUUCUAUUCCGGAGAGGGAGCCCGAGAAACGGCUACCACAUCCAAGGAAGGCAGCAGGCGCGCAAAUUACCCAAUCCCGACUCGGGGAGGUAGUGACAAUAAAUACUGAUACAGGGCUCUUUUGGGUCUUGUAAUUGGAAUGAGUACGAUUUAAACACCCUAACGAGGAACAAUUGGAGGGCAAGUCUGGUGCCAGCAGCCGCGGUAAUUCCAGCUCCAAUAGCGUAUAUUAAAGUUGUUGCAGUUAAAACGCUCGUCGUUGAACCUUGGGCCUGGGCGACCGGUCUCCCUCACCGGAUGCACUGGUUCGGCCGGGCCUUUCCUUCUGGGGAUCCGCAUGCCCUUCGCUGGGCGUGUCGGGGAACCAGGACUUUUACUUUGAAAAAAUUAGAGUGUUCAAAGCAGGCCUUUGCUCGAAUACCUUAGCAUGGAAUAAUAGAAUAGGACGUGCGGUCCUAUUUUGUUGGUUUCUAGGACCGCCGUAAUGAUUAAUAGGGUCAGUCGGGGGCAUCAGUAUUCAAUUGUCAGAGGUGAAAUUCUUAGAUUUAUUGAAGACUAACUACUGCGAAAGCAUUUGCCAAGGAUGUUUUCAUUAAUCAGUGAACGAAAGUUAGGGGAUCGAAGACGAUCAGAUACCGUCGUAGUCCUAACCAUAAACUAUGCCGACUAGGGAUCGGGCGAUGUUAUCAUUUUGACUCGCUCGGCACCUUACGAGAAAUCAAAGUGUUUGGGUUCUGGGGGGAGUAUGGUCGCAAGGCUGAACUUAAGGAUU